rnacentral:rRNA from 1 species
ACAAGCAGCGGAGCGUGUGGUUUAAUUCGAUGCAACACGAAGAACCUUACCAGGGCUUGACAUGUUGGAAGUAGUGAACCGAAAGGGAACGACCUGUUUAAGUCAGGAGCCAUCACAGGUGCUGCAUGGCUGUCGUCAGCUCGUGCCGUGAGGUGUCGGGUUAAGUCCCAUAACGAGCGCAACCCCUGUUGCCAGUUAAUUUCUCUGGCGAGACUGCCCGCAAAACGGGAGAAGCGGGGAUGACGUCAAGUCAGCAUGGCCCUUAUGUCCUGGGCUACACACACGCUACAAUGGGUGGUACAACAGGUUGCAAUGGAGCAAUCCGGAGCUAAUCCUAAAAAACCAUCCUCAGUUCGGAUUGUAGGCUGAAAUUCGCCUGCAUGAAGUCGGAGUUGCUAGUAACCGCGUAUCAGAAUGGCGCGGUGAAUACGUUCUCGGGCCUU